CCUACGGGUGGCAGCAGUGAGGAAUAUUGGUCAAUGGACGAAAGUCUGAACCAGCCAAGUAGCGUGAAGGAUGACUGCCCUAUGGGUUGUAAACUUCUUUUAUAUGGGAGUAAACUGUUACACGUGUGGUAUUUUGUAUGUACCGUAUGAAUAAGGAUCGGCUAACUCCGUGCCAGCAGCCGCGGUAAUACGGAGGAUCCGAGCGUUAUCCGGAUUUAUUGGGUUUAAAGGGAGCGUAGGUGGAUUGUUAAGUCAGUUGUGAAAUGUUGCGGCUCAACCGGAAAAUUGCAGUUGAAACUGGCAGUCUUGAGUACAGGAGCGGUGGGCGGAAUGCGUGGUGUAGCGGUGAAAUGCUUAGAUAUCACGAAGAACUCCGAUUGCGAAGGCAGCUCACUGGACUGCAACUGACAUUGAGGCUCGAAAGUGUGGGGAUCAAACAGGAUUAGAUACCCGAGUAGUC
rnacentral:rRNA from 1 species